rnacentral:rRNA from 1 species
CCUACGGGCGGCUGCAGUCGAGAAUCUUCCUCAAUGGGCGAAAGCCUGAAGGAGCGACGCCGCGUGUAUGAAGAAGCCCCUCGGGGUGUAAAGUACUUUUAACUGUGAAAAAACAAUGAUGGUAGCAGUUGAAUAAGGGGCUGCUAACCUCGUGCCAGCAGCAGCGGUAAUACGAGGGCCCCAAGCGUUAUCCGGAUUCAUUGGGCGUAAAGCGUCCGUAGGUGGUUUAUCACAUCUUCUGUUAAAUCUCGGGGCUCAACCUCGAAUCAGCGGGAGAGAUGGAUAGACUAGAGACUGGAAGAGGCACAUGGAAUUGCUGGUGUAGGGGUUAAAUCCAUUAAUAUCAGCAAGAACAUCAAAUGCGAAGGCAAUGUGCUGGGACAGUUCUGACACUCAGUGGACGAAAGCGUGGGGAGCGAAUGGGAUUAGAUACCCCGGUAGUC